rnacentral:rRNA from 1 species
UGAGUAACCUGCCCUUCUCUUCGGAAUAAGCGUUGGAAACGACGUCUAAUGCCGAAUACGACCUCCUUUCGCAUGAUCGGAGGUGGAAAGCUCCGGCGGAGAAGGAUGAGCUCGCGGCCUAUCAGCUAGUUGGUGUGGGUAAUGGCCCACCAAGGCGACGACGGGUAGCCGGCCUGAGAGGGUGACCGGCCACACUGGGACUGAGACACGGCCCAGACUCCUACGGGAGCAG